GAUGAAGAACGUAGCGAAAUGCGAUAAGUAAUGCGAAUUGCAGAAUUCAGUGAGUCAUCGAAUCUUUGAACGCACAUUGCGCCCUGUGGUAUUCCGCAGGGCAUGCCUGUUCGAGCGUCAUUUCAACCCUCAAGCCUCGCUUGGUGUUGGGCCCUGCCCGCCGCGGCCGGCCCUAAAGAUAGUGGCGGCGCCGCCUGGCCCUCAGCGUAGUACAGCUCUCGCUCCAGGGUCCGGCGGCAGCCUGCCAGAACCCCCCAACUCUGUGGUUGACCUCGGAUCAGGUAGGGAUACCCACUGAACUUAAGCAUAUCAAUAAGCGGAGGA
rnacentral:misc_RNA from 1 species